rnacentral:rRNA from 1 species
AGAACGAACGCUGGCGGCAUGCCUAACACAUGCAAGUCGAACGAGACCUUCGGGUCUAGUGGCGCACGGGUGCGUAACGCGUGGGAAUCUGCCCUUGGGUUCGGGAUAACAGUUGGAAACGACUGCUAAUACCGGAUGAUGACUUCGGUCCAAAGAUUUAUCGCCCAGGGAUGAGCCCGCGUAGGAUUAGCUAGUUGGUGAGGUAAAGGCUCACCAAGGCGACGAUCCUUAGCUGGUCUGGGAGGAUGAUCAGCCACACUGGGACUGAGACACGGCCCAGACUCCUACGGGAGCAGCAGUGGGGAAUAGUUGGACAAUGGGACGAAAGCCUGAUCCAGCAAUGCCGCGUGAGUGAUGAAGGCCGUUAGGUUAGUAAGCUCGUUUUACCCGGAUGAUAAUGACAGUACCGGAGAAGUAACGCCCCGACUAACCGUCCGCGCCAGCCAGCCGAC